CAUACUACAUUGAACAUGUAAUGUGUUCAAAUCAUGCGUAACCCAUGAAGCAAGCAUCCAAUUAUUAUAAUCAUGAUAAUGUUUCCUAAUAAUAUGAUUUUUAUCAUUUCACCACAACUGCUUGAUAGCUAAUGCUGUAUUGGGUGUAAAAGAAAUUUAUUUUCUGGUGAAGGGUUCUAUAAACAUCUUUAAAUGCGACUGAUCAACUCUAGUUUUUAGCACGUUUGAUUAACACUUUGUCCCCGGCAGCAUGUUUAAAAAUGGAUUGAAAUGUAAUCCCACUCUUACUAGAUAAAGUUACUAAUGACAAUAUUAAAUAGACUUUAACAUUGACAUUAUAGUAUACAAACACUAAACUACUAUUAGUCCAUUUUGAUAUUUGUUUUUGUGUCAUGAUAUAGACUGAGGUGUAUAUUUAUAAGUAGGGGUUGUUCAUUUACAGUCUUUGUACACUUUGGCCAGAAUGUAAAUCCCUAUGUAAUUUGACCAUAGCACAUGCUGAAAAUAAAAUCAAAAAAUAUUAAUAAUGUUCUUAAUAUUAUCCAAACCUAACAUUUGAAUUAAUUUAUGCCAAUUUGAAUUAAAACCAAACCAGGAAUCAAUAAACAGUGACAGCCCUGAGAAGAAAAAGAAAGGCAUCAAGGGGGCAUUUAGCAAACUUACACAUGGUUCAAAGAAAGAUAAAGAAAGUAAAAUUGCAGACAAGGAAGAGGCUAAACUAAUCCAAGCCUACAAGACAGAAAUUGAAGAAUUAAAAGCAGAACUAAAGAAGGCUAAAGAAUCUGAGAUGACUAGGUCACAACAAAUUGAAAAAGAUGUUGCAGAAGCAAUGGCCGAUACUGCUACUAGCCCUGUCAAGCAUUAACACACACUGCAGCUGGUAAAGCUGCAGCCGAAAAUAAAGUGUCAUCCAUCUAACAUUGUGGGAAGUGCCACUAAAAUUUUAUUUUCAAAAGAAUAAUAGUAAUAUUACACAGAGUAUUGUGGGAGAAACACAUAGUUUAAUAACAAAAGAUAACUGAUAUAUUGUUAUUGUUCAAUUAGCAAUUUUAAUUAAACUGCUUAUACACAGAAAGUUUUCAGGUCAGUUUUUGCAUGUAGAGAUUAGGUUUUACUCAUCAAAUUGACUUGAAGAUUAGUGAUUAGAGUAAAGAAUAAAAUGUAAUAGUCAAGUCAUAAUGCACACACUGAUAAGGAGGUACAGUGACUCCUUCAGUAAUGUAUUAGUCUAAAUUCUAGUACAUUUGUUUUUGUUAUCUCGGUAAGCUAUAAUAGUAACUUAAUUUUAAAAGUGAAAUCUAUGAAAGCUUGCCCAUCACAUGUGCAGCUUCAGUUUGUGAAAUAAACUGUUUCAUGAAAUA